rnacentral:rRNA from 1 species
GACGAACGCUGGCGGCGUGCUUAACACAUGCAAGUCGAACGAUGAUGCCCAGCUUGCUGGGUGGAUUAGUGGCGAACGGGUGAGUAACACGUGAGUAACCUGCCCCUGACUCUGGGAUAAGCGUUGGAAACGACGUCUAAUACUGGAUAUGACUGCCGGCCGCCUGGUCUGGUGGUGGAAAGAUUUUUUGGUUGGGGAUGGACUCGCGGCCUAUCAGCUUGUUGGUGAGGUAAUGGCUCACCAAGGCGACGACGGGUAGCCGGCCUGAGAGGGUGACCGGCAACACUGGGACUGAGACACGGCCCAGACUCCUACGGGAGGCAGCAGUGGGGAAUAUUGCACAAUGGGCGAAAGCCUGAUGCAGCAACGCCGCGUGAGGGAUGACGGCCUUCGGGUUGUAAACCUCUUUUAGUAGGGAAGAAGCGAAAGUGACGGUACCUGCAGAAAAAGCACCGGCUAACUACGUGCCAGCAGCCGCGGUAA